rnacentral:tRNA from 1 species
GGGCUCGUAGCUCAGUGGAUAGAGCGUUUGCCUCCGGAGCAAAAGGUCGAGGGUUCGACCCCCUUCGAGCCCAC